GACCUCUGUAUUCAACAUUCCUAUCAGUUUUGUAGGUAACUGUACUAUUGCAUAAUAUGGCCAUACUUAAGUCAUUUUCCUUGAGAACAGAAAAGUAAAGGAGAAACCAAUGAUUUUUCCCCCACUUCAGAUCUCACCUGCCAGCACUGAUGUAAGACUACACCUCCCUAUUUCAAGGCACAUUAUUACCAUUAGUCUGGAUAAAUUUGCAAAGGAAAAUGAGAGUUACUGGUGUGAUUACCCAAGGAGCCAAGAGGAUUGGAAGCCCAGAGUAUAUAAAAUCCUACAAAAUUGCCUACAGUAAUGAUGGAAAGACUUGGGCAAUGUACAAAGUGAAAGGCACCAAUGAAGACAUGGUGUUUCGUGGAAACAUUGAUAACAACACUCCAUAUGCUAACUCUUUCACACCCCCCAUAAAAGCUCAGUAUGUAAGACUCUAUCCCCAAGUUUGUCGAAGACAUUGCACUUUGCGAAUGGAACUUCUUGGCUGUGAACUGUCGGGUUGUUCUGAGCCUCUGGGUAUGAAAUCAGGACAUAUACAAGACUAUCAGAUCACUGCCUCCAGCAUCUUCAGAACGCUCAACAUGGACAUGUUCACUUGGGAACCAAGGAAAGCUCGGCUGGACAAGCAAGGCAAAGUGAAUGCCUGGACUUCUGGCCACAAUGACCAGUCACAAUGGUUACAGGAGAACUAAAGGAAAGGUUUUCAAAAUUAAGUGACCACCAGGCCACUGGAAACAUUUGUCAAUAUGAAGGAUUAUUCUGAUUUCCAAUUCACAGUUCCAAUAUUUAUCAUUUAUGAAGGUUCACCUAAAAAGAAGAUCUAAAAGAGGUCAAGUAAUGAAACUUGUAUGUGAUUGUGAGACAGCUUCCAUUCUUCUAUAGUAUUGAUAUAUGUUGGAGUGUGCUAAGUCAAUCGAAGGAUGCUCACACUUUGCUAGGGCUGUAAGUCAUCUUUAUGUAUUUUUUCAUUUUUUAAACCACAUACUGUGAAUAAGAAAUCUUUUUGAUUUUUAUAAUUUUAUGAUGUCAAAGGGAAAUCCCCACUAUCCAAUUAGAAAAAAGAACUUUUAAUAAACAAAGCAAAAUUGAAAGGACAUUUGUACAGAAAAUACUUAAGUGCAAACAAAAGUGCAGCCAAUAUCAAUGUAGUAUAAGGAGUGCAUAAUAUGAGGUGCAAAAUAUAGAUGUGAGGGCUGACAAAUUAUAUCAAUACUCUGAGAUUUCAAUAUUCUUUCUUUUUUAUGUAAAAUGGAGAUAUUACAAAAAAAGAUCAGCCCCAGCCUAUCUUCUCCUUUUUAAAUCCCUUACACAAGUAAAAUUCUGGUGUCUAAAUGAUGACUGGACGAAUC
rnacentral:sRNA from 1 species